CUACGAGUCGCUGCAGUGGGGAAUAUUGGACAAUGGGGGGAACCCUGAUGCAGCAACGCCGCGUGGAGGAUGACGCAUUUCGGUGUGUAAACUCCUUUUAUAUGUCAAGAAAAUGACGGUAGCAUAUGAAUAAGCACCGGCUAACUCCGUGCCAGCAGCCGCGGUAAUACGGAGGGUGCAAGCGUUACUCGGAAUCACUGGGCGUAAAGGACGCGUAGGCGGGUUGGAAAGUCAGGUGUGAAAUCCUACAGCUUAACUGUAGAACUGCACUUGAAACUUCUAAUCUAGAGUAUGGGAGGGGGAGAUGGAAUUAGUGGUGUAGGGGUAAAAUCCGUAGAUAUCACUAGGAAUACCUAAAGCGAAGGCGAUCUCCUGGAACAUUACUGACGCUAAGGCGUGAAAGCGUGGGGAGCAAACAGGAUUAGAUACCCCGGUAGUC
rnacentral:rRNA from 1 species